ACGCCUUUGUUCUCACUUUCCUGUUCAACUCACAAUACAAGUCACGAAUAGCUUUUUAAUUACAUUAGUUCUACCACAAUUGUAAAUAGUGCACAUUGCAUGAAAGGAAAAUCGAAAUGCAUAAUUUUGAUUUUCAUUAUAUGCAAUAGUCAGCAGCAUUUACGGUUGUGGUAAAACUAAUGUAAUCACCAAGCUAUUCGUGACUUUUAUUUUGACAAAAGAUUUGAACAGGAAGUUACGAGCGGAAGUGUUAUUGUAGCCAUUUCGACCGUGCCACAACGAUGCCGACAGCUCUCUUUGCCACCCCUACAACGUGCUUGUUCAAGCAGCUCCUUUUCUUUCAGGUUUUGUGCUUAGAAAGAGUGACAUGAUGCAGGAUGGAGUUGCGAGGAGUUCCCGGACACGGUCAGAGAUGGCUGGAACAGUCGGAUGGAUUUGCAAUCAUGCAAUAAAUGCCCACAUAAGACGCCAUGGUCAAAUGGUUGGAGAUCGUUGAGAGUUUGCAGCUAUUGAUGAAAGUUGUUUCCUUAAUAAAAGCAAGUAUCACCACAGAAGGGCCGGUGCAACAUGGCGACGGAAAAAGUGGGUAUUAAGAAUAUUAGGAGUAGGUGACCGCCAGAAACAUCCUGUCUUGUGGCUGGUGUGGUUAAACAAGUGCGUCCGGGAACCACCGUCAUCAGUGACCAAUGGGGCACUUACAGGAGUGCAUUGACUGCGACAGGCUACAGGCACUUCACAGUGAACCACUGUCAGUAGUUUGCGGAUCCAAACACCUUGCGCGCCUCCCAGUAUGUCAACCCCAGCUUUCUCUGUGGACCAUGCAACUUGGACUUUCCGAGUUUCAUAUAGGACAAUGCAUCUUGCUCUGCAUCUGUAAACCAUGGAUUCAUCUUUUGGACAUUUUCAGGAGAAUGGCUGUGUGUGCGUGUGUGUGUGUGUGUGUGUGUGUGUGUGUGCGUUGGUCGGUCAG